GUCCAGGGAGCCUGGUGGACAUGGCAUCUAUCCGGUAAGUGGAACACUAUGGGUUCGAUUCCCAUCCCUGUACA
rnacentral:tRNA from 1 species